rnacentral:rRNA from 1 species
CCUACGGGAGGCAGCAGUGAGGAAUAUUGGUCAAUGGACGAGAGUCUGAACCAGCCAAGUAGCGUGAAGGAUGACUGCCCUAUGGUUUGUAAACUUCUUUUAUAUGGGAAUAAAAUGUUCCACGUGUGGGAUUUUGUAUGUACCAUAUGAAUAAGGAUCGGCUAACUCCGUGCCAGCAGCCGCGGUAAUACGGAGGAGCCGAGCGUUAUCCGGAUUUAUUGGGUUUAAAGGGAGCGUAGGUGGAUUGUUAAGUCAGUUGUGAAAGUUUGCGGCUCAACCGUAAAAUUGCAGUUGAAACUGGCAGUCUUGAGUACAGUAGAGGUGGGCGGAAUUCGUGGUGUAGCGGUGAAAUGCGUAGAUAUCACGAAGAACUCCGAUUGCGAAGGCAGCUCACUGGACUGCAACUGACGCUGAGGCGCGAAAGUGUGGGUAGCAAACAGGAUUAGAUACCCGAGUAGUC